AUUUCUCUAUUAGAGUCGUGGAAGACUACCACGUUGAUAGGCUGGGUGUAGAAGCAUGGCAACAUGUGAAGCUAACCAGUACUAAUAACUCAAUUGGCUUGAUUACAA
rnacentral:rRNA from 1 species